GUGAGGAAUUUUCCGCAAUGGGCGAAAGCCUGACGGAGCAAUGCCGCGUGAAGGAUGAAGGCCUAUGGGUUGUAAACUUCUUUUCUCAGAAAAGAAUUAUGACGGUAUCUGAGGAAUAAGCAUCGGCUAACUCUGUGCCAGCAGCCGCGGUAAGACAGAGGAUGCAAGCGUUAUCCGGAAUGAUUGGGCGUAAAGCGUCUGUAGGUUGUUUAAAAAGUAUUCUGUCAAAGAUUAGGGCUUAACCCUAGAUAGGCAGAAUAAACUUUUAAGCUAGAGUUUGGUAGAGGCAGAGGGAAUUCCCGGUGGAGCGGUGAAAUGCGUGGAUAUCGGGAGGAACACCAAAGGCGAAGGCACUCUGCUGGGCCAAUACUAACACUGAGAGACGAAAGCGAGGGGAGCAAAUGGGAUUAGAUACCCUGGUAGUCC
rnacentral:rRNA from 1 species